rnacentral:rRNA from 1 species
AAUGAACGCUGGCGGCGUGCCUAAUACAUGCAAGUCGAGCGAAUGGAUUAAGAGCUUGCUCUUAUGAAGUUAGCGGCGGACGGGUGAGUAACACGUGGGUAACCUGCCCAUAAGACUGGGAUAACUCAGGGAAACCGGCGCUAAUACCGGAUAACAUUUUGAACCGCAUGGUUCGAAAUUGAAAGGCGGCUUCGGCUGUCACUUAUGGCUGGACCCGCGUCGCAUUAGCUAGUUGGUGAGGUAACGGCUCACCAAGGCAACGAUGCGUAGCCGACCUGAGAGGGUGAUCGGCCACACUGGGACUGAGACACGGCCCAGACUCCUACGGGAGGCAGCAGUAGGGAAUCUUCCGCAAUGGACGAAAGUCUGACGGAGCAACGCCGCGUGAGUGAUGAAGGCUUUCGGGUCGUAAAACUCUGUUGUUAGGGAAGAACAAGUGCUAGUUGAAUAAGCUGGCACCUUGACGGUACCUAACCAGAAAGCCACGGCUAACUACGUGCCAGCCGCCGCGGUAA